rnacentral:rRNA from 1 species
GUAGGGCGCGAGCGUUGUCCGAAUUUACUGGGUGUAAAGCGCGCGUAGGCGGACCCUUAAGUUGGUGGUGAAAUCCCGAGGCUCAACCUCGGAACUGCCUUCAAAACUGGGGGUCUUGAGGUAUGGAGAGGGAAGCGGAAUUCCUGGUGUAGCGGUGAAAUGCGUAGAUAUCAGGAGGAACACCUGUGGCGAAGGCGGCUUCCUGGCCAUAUCCUGACGCUGAGGUGCGAAAGCUAGGGUAGCGAACGGGAUUAGAUACCCCGGUAGUCCUAGCCGUAAACGAUGGAUACUAGGUGUUAGAGGUAUCGACCCCCCCUCUAGUGCCGGAGCUAACGCAUUAAGUAUCCCGCCUGGGGAGUACGACCGCAAGGUUG